UGGGGAAUAUUGGACAAUGGGGGCAACCCUGAUCCAGCAAUGCCGCGUGUGUGAAGAAGGCUUGCGGGUUGUAAAGCACUUUCAGUAGGGAAGAAAAGCAGGGGGCUAAUACCGCCGUGCCUUGACGUCACCUACAGCAGACGCACCGGCUAACUCCGUGCCAGCAGCCGCGGUAAUACGGAGGGUGCGAGCGUUAAUCGGAAUUACUGGGCGUAAAGCGGGCGUAGGCGGCGAGGUCAGUCGGAUGUGAAAGCCCCGGGCUUAACCUGGGAACUGCAUUCGAUACUGCCUGGCUAGAGUAUGGGAGAGGGAAGCGGAAUUUCCGGUGUAGCGGUGAAAUGCGUAGAUAUCGGAAGGAACACCAGUGGCGAAGGCGGCUUCCUGGCCCAAUACUGACGCUGAGGUGCGAAAGCGUGGGUAGCGAACAGGAUUAGAUACCCGCGUAGUCC
rnacentral:rRNA from 1 species